UGCAGUCGAGCGAAUGGAUUAAGAGCUUGCUCUUAUGAAGUUAGCGGCGGACGGGUGAGUAACACGUGGGUAACCUGCCCAUAAGACUGGGAUAACUCCGGGAAACCGGGGCUAAUACCGGAUAACAUUUUGAACCGCAUGGUUCGAAAUUGAAAGGCGGCUUCGGCUGUCACUUAUGGAUGGACCCGCGUCGCAUUAGCUAGUUGGUGAGGUAACGGCUCACCAAGGCAACGAUGCGUAGCCGACCUGAGAGGGUGAUCGGCCACACUGGGACUGAGACACGGCCCAGACUCCUACGGGAGGCAGCAGUAGGGAAUCUUCCGCAAUGGACGAAAGUCUGACGGAGCAACGCCGCGUGAGUGAUGAAGGCUUUCGGGUCGUAAAACUCUGUUGUUAGGGAAGAACAAGUGCUAGUUGAAUAAGCUGGCACCUUGACGGUACCUAACCAGAAAGCCACGGCUAACUACGUGCCAGCAGCCGCGGUAAUACGUAGGUGGCAAGCGUUAUCCGGAAUUAUUGGGCGUAAAGCGCGCGCAGGUGGUUUCUUAAGUCUGAUGUGAAAGCCCACGGCUCAACCGUGGAGGGUCAUUGGAAACUGGGAGACUUGAGUGCAGAAGAGGAAAGUGGAAUUCCAUGUGUAGCGGUGAAAUGCGUAGAGAUAUGGAGGAACACCAGUGGCGAAGGCGACUUUCUGGUCUGUAACUGACACUGAG
rnacentral:rRNA from 1 species